AACAAAGAUAUCCUACCUAUCUGUUAACUAGUACUGAGUAGAGAUGACAGAGAAAUUUAAAUUGACUGUUUAAAGCAUUUGCGCAUGUCAACACUUGCCUAAUGGCGGGAUGGGGCUCCCUGUGACAGACCACAGGCAUGAUGAUUCAUGAAACCACGAGAUAAAACUGCUGUCUCUCUUUAUAACUGUAGUUUUACUUGAAGAUUUGGAUAGGAUUUUUUCUUAAUAUUAAGUAAGAGCAAAUAUAUUGAAGAAUGGCCUGCUAUGGUUUCAUGCCAUUUUUAGAUACUUCAAAGACACUGCAGCCCUCUAGACAAGACUGUUUCCAGCUCCUUGAAGCCAAGAGGCGGAGUCCCUCUUUCCUCCCACAGGGGUAUUUGAGAUGCCUGGAAGAAUAAGAGGAAUGAAUAAAUUCCCAUGUCAGUCUGGCAAAGCAAAACUGCCCAGAGGAUAAAACGGGAUAAAGAUACAGCCCCAGUUUUCAGUCAUUUCCCUGAUGAUGUUCCAACUUUAAGAUCAUGUGAUGGGGAUGCACAUCCACGAGAGCUCAUGUGGCAGAUUCUGAAGUUUGAUCUUUUCCUAUUCCUCUCUGAGCAUGCCGGGUAGCUCCCAUCCAGUCAUUUGUGAUCAGAACGGGAAACAACCGCCAUGGUUCCGUGUGCUACACAGGUAAGCUACGACGCUCUGCAGGCUGGGCUCAUUAAAUGCAUCUUGGAUUUAUAUUUCCACUGUCUCACAGUCCUCUCAGGACAAAACCUCAUGACAAGUGGAGCACCUAUACACAGCCUACGGAGGUUUCACACCACAGCUGUUUAUCAAAGCAGAGCAGAGCUGUUCUGUGGACAGGACAUUGUGUCCCUGUCACACCUAGGGCUAGUUACUCUUCACAUUGCCCUGCCUUGCCUGACAGUAAACCAGGAGCCCUGAGACAAAUGGAGUGGCUUCCUUUUAAUCACAAAUUAUUAAAAUCAAGUGCACUUUAAAGCAUGCGUCUUCAGACACAAUAACCAGUUUCAGGUGUUCAGGAGCCAUUUGCAGCUAAUGGCUACCAAACUGAGCACCGUGGAUACCACACCAACAUCCAUUACCACAGAACAGUUCAUUCAGUGGAGCAACACAUGCUUAGUGUAACAUCAGAACCCCAAGCUAGGUGUUGGAUCCCUCCACACUGAGAUUCCAAUUCUUGGUAGGGAAACCCCACUAACACAAUUAAGCUAUUCUAUAAGGUCCCUUUUAAAAUGCCUUGUCUUCCGAGGCUGGAGAGAUGGUUUGGUGAGUAAAAUGCCUGCUGCACAAUCCUGGAACCCUGAGUUCAAUGCCUGGAGCCUACAGUGGUGGGUAUCUGUGACCCCAGGACUCCCAAGACAGCCUGGGAGGCAGAGACGGGACAACCAACCGUCCAGGAGAAACAGAAAAACAACGACUGGGGAGUUGUGGACAGACCCCUGAAGAGUUGUCCUUGGACAUGCACUGUGGCAUGCAUAUUCACACACACACACAUGCGCACGUGCACACACACACACAUACACACACACACACACACACAUGUUUAUUAAUUUAAAAUUUUUAAGUAAAUAUUCGUGGAAAAAAGUUUGUCCUCAGAGCAUGAUAGCUGUCUCCUGAGAGGCUCUGCCAGUGCCUGACAAAUACAGAAAUGGAUGCUCACAGCCAUCCAUGAGACUGAGAACAGGGUCCCCAAUGAAGGAGCUAGAGAAAGAACCCAAGGAGCUGAAGGGGUUUACAGCCCCAUAGGAGGAACAAUAAUACAAACAAACCAGUACCCCCAGAGCUCUCUGGGAAUAAACCAUCAAUCAAAGAGUACAUAUGGUGGGACUCAUGGAUCCAGCCGCAUAUGUAGCAGAGGAUGGCCUAGUCGGUCAUCAAUGAGAGGAGAGGCCCUUGGUCCUGUGAAGGCUCUAUGCCCCAGUGUAGGGGAAUGCCAGGGCCAGGAACCAGGAGUGAGUGGGUUGGUGAGCAGGGGGAGGUAGGAGGGGGAGGAGGGUUUCAGAAGGGAAACCAAGAAAGGGGAUAGCAUUUGAAAUGUAAAUAGAGAAAAUAUCAAAUAAAGUAAAAGAAAAAAGUUUGUCCAUUUCCCUGUCUAGUGUCACGGUUGGAGAAGACGCUUGAAGGGGACACAUUCUUAUGUUGUUGGCUUUGGUUUUGAGCAGAGAGAAUUGGUUUUGGUUUGCUUAUUGUUUCAUUCUUGCUUGGUUUUAUUGGUUUUGGUUUGCAUUUGGUUGGAUUGAGGUUUUGGUUCAGUUUGGUUCAAUUUGGUUUGUGUUCAUCAUGUGGAUCAAACUCAAGGCCUUACCACACAGACGAGGCAAAGGCUAUACCACUGAACUAUUUACACACAUUCUUGGGCCAAGCAUGCAAGUGGUGUCCACAGCAAAGGACUCUCCUGUUGCUCCAUCCUGGCAGUUAGCUCAGCUGGGCAGCUGGAAGUCAGCAGGUGCAGAAACUCCCCAAUCUCCAGCCAGGGCCAAUCUCCUUCCACUCCCAGCCGGAAUCUGCCCAGCUGCGAGGCAGGGGGAAUGGCAGCUCCCAUCCGCCCCUAAGCAGAGGGUGAUUAAGACACAGAUAUGCAAAUGGGUCCCCCAUUCCAGAGGCAGUUCACUGUGGAAGAAUUAGACGAAUGCAAAAGUGAUUAGCUAUGGAACAACAUAAUUGAAUAAGCAAUGGAAAGUUUGGCCCUGGGGCACAGAGACUGGCCUGAGAGAUGCUCCGUAAGGAGAGGGUGGGUGUGAACUGCACUUCAGUGGUGCUAAUGUGUAAUUACAAAUGAGCCAGAUUCUUCCACCUUGUUCAUUACAGCCAGCCCCUCUGGGACAACCAGAGGGCAACACUUAGUUAGCAGUUAAUAAGCCGCUGCUUUGCAAGGGAGCAGUGAAAUUGCAUUUUUUCCAGACACUUUCCCUUUCACAGGGUUCCCUCUAUGGACUCUGCGAAUGUGACAUUACCCUCCUGCCUACCACAUGAAUUCUGGGAAUUUGGGAGGGAUCCUGUUCAGCAUCUUGGAAGAAGGGACUUGCUAGUUUGACAUCAUUUGAGAUCCAGCAGUCUGCAGAUAUAGCUCAGUUGCUUUCCGAGCACACAAAUCCCUGGCACCUCAUAAAAAUGGUCAUGGUGGGGUAAGGACAUCCCGGAUAAGGACACAGGAGAACCGGAAGUUCAAAGCCAUUGUCAGCUAUAUAGAAAAAUAUAGGUCACCCAGGGAGACACGAAACCUGGUCUGAAAGCCUGCAGGUAGGAGUCUGGGGACUUGAAAUUGCUCAGUGGACUAGUGGAUAAACACGUGACAAUAAAGAGUGAAGACCACAGUUCAGAUCCCCAAGACCUUUGUACAAUAAACAGGCAGUGGAGGUCUGUGAUACUAACAUUCAAGGAGGUAGAGAUUUAGGAUCCCAGAGCAAGCUGACGAGCUAGGCUAGUCAGAACUGAUGAGCUCUGGGUUCUCAAUAAACAAAAUGGAAAGCAAUCAGGGAAGAUACUUAGUGUCAACUCUAGGUCUCCACAGUCACACACACACACACACACACACACACACACACACACACGAGGGCACACAAGUGUGUGUGUGUGUGUGUGUGUGUGUGUGUGUACACUAGCACACAUACAUCAAACACAUAUUAGAAAAGGAAAAAAAGACACUGCUUACCCAAGGAAGAAGGAAUAACAAGACAGCUUAUGAAAUAUACAGAGUCCUACUCACCCUACCCUCAUUAGAUAAGGAUUCUGGGAGUGGAUGAGGGUGGAGAGAGUCAUUGAUCAAAGCCACUGAUCAAUAUUUGAAGUGAUAGAUAUGCUAAUUACUUGAAAUCUGUCUUCGUAUAAUAUAUGUGUCUCAAAAUAUCACUGGAACCCAUAUAUAUUAGUCACUGCACACAAAAAAUAAAACCUAAUUAAUUUAAAAUUUUAAAAAUAAAAAUAUAAAUUUCU
rnacentral:lncRNA from 1 species